CGGACUCAUAUUGAAACCUAGUGAUUUAUGAGUUAGUGGCGGACGGGUGAGUAACGCGUGGAAAACCUGCCGUAUACCGGGGGAUAACACUUAGAAAUAGGUGCUAAUACCGCAUAAGCGCACAGCUUCGCAUGAAGCAGUGUGAAAAACUCCGGUGGUAUAUGAUGGUUCCGCGUCUGAUUAGCUAGUUGGCGGGGUAACGGCCCACCAAGGCAGCGAUCAGUAGCCGGCCUGAGAGGGUGAACGGCCACAUUGGGACUGAGACACGGCCCAAACUCCUACGGGAGGCAGCAGUGGGGAAUAUUGCACAAUGGGGGAAACCCUGAUGCAGCGACGCCGCGUGAGUGAAGAAGUAUUUCGGUACGUAAAGCUCUAUCAGCAGGGAAGAAAAUGACGGUACCUGACUAAGAAGCCCCGGCUAACUACGUGCCAGCAGCCGCGGUAAUACGUAGGGGGCAAGCGUUAUCCGGAUUUACUGGGUGUAAAGGGAGCGCAGACGGCAGCGCAAGUCUGGAGUGAAAUGCCGGGGCCCAACCCCGGAACUGCUUUGGAAACUGUGCAGCUUGAGUGCGGGAGAGGUAAGUGGAAUUCCUAGUGUAGCGGUGAAAUGCGUAGAUAUUAGGAGGAACACCAGUGGCGAAGGCGGCUUACUGGACCGUAACUGACGUUGAGGCUCGAAAGCGUGNGGAGCAAACAGGAUUAGAUACCCUGGUANUCCACGCCGUAAACGAUGAUUACUAGGUGUCGGGGGACCAAGGUCCUCCG
rnacentral:rRNA from 1 species